GAGUGAGUGGUGGGUGAGUGGUGAGUGAGCUAGUGAGUGGUGAGUGGUGAGUGAGCUGGUGAGUGGUGAGCUAGUGAGUGGUGAGUGAUGAGUGGUGAGUGGUGAGUGAGUGGUGAGUGAUGAGUGAGUGGUGAGUAGUGAGUGAUGAGUGGUGAGUGAGUGGUGAGUGAGUGAUGAGUGGUGAGUGGUGAGUGAGUGGUGAGUGAUGAGUGAGUGGUGAGUGAUGAGUGAGUGGUGAGUGAUGAGUGAGUGGUGAGUGAGUGGUGAGUGGUGAGUGGUGAGUGAGUGAUGAGUGAGUGGUGAGUGGUGAGUGAGUGGUGAGUGGUGAGUCAGUGGUGAGUGGUGAGUGGUGAGUGAGUGGUAAGUGGUGAGUGAGUGGUGAGUGAGUGGUGAGUGGUGGGUGAGUGAGUGAUGAGUGAAUCUGAAGGCCAGGACAUUACUGUGCACUGCUGUAGACUUCAUAAGUACUGUACACUUG
rnacentral:lncRNA from 1 species